AUCAUUCCCAGAGAUGCACGUUGGGGCUAACCAAGGGGUCACCCCAGCAGCUUAUGUGCAAAGGCAAAUGAAUCCACUGUAGUUUAGUGAUUUCUGAGUAGAACAGCAGUUCCUUUGCAACAGCAAAGGAAGAAGGGUCAUGAGAAGAAACGGCCAAGAUAUACCAAAGAGGGCUGGAGAAAUGGCAGGAAGCAAGAAAGAGAGCAAGGGGAACAUUGAUGGAACAAGAAAGGAAUUUUGGUGGUGACUCAGGCCUGUCCAAUCUGGGGCCCCAAGAGCAUUAAGUGGUUGAGAAGCAAGGUCAGCUGCUUGGGUCCUGAUCUUCCCACUCCGAAUUCCCAUUGAUUCACCAGGGAUACGCGUCGAAAUACCGAUUCCUGAGCUCCAAACCUGCUACACCAGACACAUUUUGAAGAGCAAAGAUUUUGAAGAUCAAAGAUCUUUCAGCUCCAAUCCUGAAGAUACAGUGGUGGAGCAUAGAAACUCACCAGGGUCUUAGUCCAUCCUUCCUUGGAGUGGCUAAUUGACAGCUCUUACCAAUGAGAUGGAAGUAAAAAUCUGUUGGAGAGUUUUUGAAAACUUUGCUUUCAUCAUUAAAGAAGACAUACAUCUUUCCUUUUGUGGACGCAGCCCUGAUCAUUGGAGCUUCAGCAGCUAUCUAGUAAUAAUGAGAGAAAGGCCAAGCCCAGGGAAUUACAGAGACAUUGGCCCUGCCAUUAUUGAGUAACUGAACCAACUCCAGCAACUACCCAAGAAACUUCCUGUUGUGAGAGAAUAAGCAAACUCAUAUCUAUUCUAACCCCUGUAUUUAGCUUCUCUGUUACUUGCAGCUGAAUAAAUACAGCAUUUAAAAAAAUUACCUAACGUAAUCAUAAAUGCUUCAUCCCACAGAGACGACGUGUAGGUCUGACAAUAGUGGGAAUAAAUACUGAUAAUAUUUUAAUUGAUAAUGACUUGAUUCUAUUAUUUAAUACUUUUUAGACUAAUAGAUAAUUUUUAGAUAUUAAUGGAAAAACCUCUACUUGAGUCAAAGCAGUAACUUUAAAGAACCAGAAAUAAAUUGUUGGCUAAUGCAGGCUGGUCUAGGAAACGUUGCCAAGUAUUUAAAAAGGAAAAAAUCUCCCGCUUUUAUGUUUAACCCAACCACUACUUGUCCAUAAAAACCUUAUUUUUAUAAUAAAAUAUAUUUUUCUGCCUUUGUUUACACUA